rnacentral:rRNA from 1 species
UGAGGAAUAUUGGACAAUGGGCGCAAGCCUGAUCCAGCCAUACCGCGUGAGUGAAGAAGGCCUUCGGGUUGUAAAGCUCUUUCAGACGGAAAGAAACGGUUACGGCUAAUACCCGUGACUAAUGACGGUACCGUAAGAAGAAGCACCGGCUAACUACGUGCCAGCAGCCGCGGUAAUACGUAGGGUGCGAGCGUUAAUCGGAAUUACUGGGCGUAAAGCGUGCGCAGGCGGUUUGGUAAGACAGAUGUGAAAUCCCCGGGCUUAACCUGGGAACUGCAUUUGUGACUGCCAGACUAGAGUGUAGCAGAGGGGGUAGAAUUCCACGUGUAGCAGUGAAAUGCGUAGAUAUGUGGAGGAAUACCGAUGGCGAAGGCAGCCCCCUGGGCUAACACUGACGCUCAUGCACGAAAGCGUGGGGAGCAAACAGGAUUAGAUACCCAGGUAGUCCCUGAGCGGGCUGGCAAGGCGCAU